GAUGAACGCUGGCGGCGUGCCUAAUACAUGCAAGUCGAACGCUGAAGGAGGAGCUUGCUCUUCUGGAUGAUUUGCGCACGGGUGAGUAACGCGUAGGUAACCCGCCUGUUAGCGGGUGAUAACUCUUGGAAACGAUAGCUAAUACCGCAUGACAACAGUUAAUGCAUGAUGACUGUUUAAAAGAGGCAACUGCUCCACUACCAAAUGGUCCUGCGUUGUAUUAUCUAGUUGGUGAGGUAAUGGCUCAACAAGGCGACGAUACAUAGCCGACCUGAGAAGGGGAUCGGCCACACUGGGACUGAGAAACGGCCCAGAAUUCUACGGGAGGGAGCCGUAGGGGAUCUUCGGCAAAGGACGGAAGUCUGACCGGGCAACGCCGGGGGAGUGAAGGAGGGUUUCGGAUCGUAAAGCUCUGGUGUAAGGGAAGAACGAGUGUGGGAGUGGAAAGUUCACACUGUGACGGUACCUUACCAGAAAGGGACGGCUAACUACGUG
rnacentral:rRNA from 1 species